rnacentral:antisense_RNA from 1 species
CUUCUUGACCACUGAGUCAGCAGCAACUCUUUUCUUGCCAAGAAUAGCACAUUGUUCUUUUCCUUUUCAGGUAAUCCCUCCCCGGAAAGAGAAGAUCACAGAUUUUGUCGUAUUAAAUACGUUGUAGAAAUUCAUGGUAGCAGGGGCAAGAUCAUUUAAACAAAACAGAAAGUUUCAGAGAGAGAAAAAGCCAAGGACAAAGAUUAAUCAUUUUCUGCUUAAAAAAAAAAUGGCUUUGAUUUCCAACCAUGGAAUGCUCCACUGUUUCUCUUCUCUUCAAAGACAUCUACUGAAAGGAUUCCUUAACCAAGUGGCCAAAAUACUUUUCUGAGAAGAUUCACAGAGCAUAGGCCCCCUUAGGGUACACAGAGAUUUCAUUAGUCCCUAGAUGUUUCCUGAUCCUUUUAAAAACUGGUUAAAUUCAGAGACUCUAGGCAAUUCUUUCAGAACCUAUGAGGCAAAAACGAAAGAAGAAGGCAGGACAUGCAGUGUAACAAAUCUUGGAAUGGACUUCGCCAGACUUCAUCAGAAGAAAGCAGUGUGAGACGGGACUGCAGAGGAAAGCUGGGGCUUGGGAAACCACCAGCAGGGGCCACGUGGGCAGGUGGUUUCUGUGUGAACCUCUGAUCUGUGCAACAUAAACAGGAAAUGUUGAAGGCUUCCAGUGCUCUUUUUUGAUGUCGAGAACAUUCUACGGCACAAAAGAGUUUGCCUCUCACUGUUUCUCAUAUAUGGAGGUUUUCUAACCAGCAUCCUGAACAGAAUUGAAUUAAAAAUAAAACCAAAGUAAAACUAGCUUUA